UGCAGCAGCUUACUGAGCAAAACGAGGGGCAAUGCUGACCAUUGCAGUGUUAUGCUUCUCCCUUACAUAUUUGUCACUGAGUCCCACACUGAGAGCAUUACUCUUCCAGCAGUAACCAGAGCCUGUCAAUCAAGUGACCAGCUGUAUUUUCAAAGACUUUUCUCCCAGAUUCUAUGGUCUCCCCUCUCUCUGUAGGUUUGCUUCCCUCUACAAAUCCCCAAGUCAGAAAGAAGCAACUGUACCAUACCAGAUUACUUCACUUGGCUUUCGGGACAUCCAAUCAUCACAGCCGGUUUCAACAUCGCUCAACAAUGGGGACAACCCACGUAAACGUCCAAGGAACGAUGAUGAUGACGACGAUGGACAGUGACACAGGCCAGUCUGGAGAUCUGCCCACUUCAGCUAGUGGUUUUCAGAGACACCGUGGGAACCCAAUGUGGCAGUUGACUGGAUCAUUUCUUGCCCCUCCCCUGCCCCCUGCCCAAGAUAUCCAAUCAUGUAGCUCAAUGUGGGCUACCUCCGGUUCUGACUGUGUGAACUCUGAUAAUAACCUGCUGUUGGUCAUAUGAAUCCAGUUAGAUUGGAAUAUUAAAAGUGACAACUCAAAGAGUUAGGAGCCACCAACCCACACUGGCUGAACCUCCUCUUUGGUGAGCUCCCUAUCUCAGCCACAUGGUAGUCGGGAGUCACAGAGCAGCAGUUACCAGUGAAAUUCAGGACUUUUCUUGGACCCUGUAAGUUACUUAAAACCGUGAACCCCAUUUUAAUCUUCACCCCAUCCCUGGUCAUUAUCCUUUUCCAUCAGGAGUCAAACUCACCGCCAAUCUUUUAAAGACUCCAGAAUCACACCGAAUUUGAGAGAUUUUCUCACUUGUUGAAACCCUUUUGCCACCUCUCUGGAUUCAAGUUGUCGUACUGUUCAGUGGUAAAUGUUCCUUUUUCUUUCCUGUUGGGCUUCCUUUUAAGUAAAUGUAUUUUGUAACUAAGA